GAUUGUGCAGCGAUAAUUGUAUAUUUAAGCAUCCACUUCCCAAAUACACAUAUACAUUUAUGCAAAUACUAUCAUAUAUUAAUAUUUACUGCAAGAAUUAUAUCAGUUUAGCAACACAAAUAAACAAAAGAAAAAUCACAAAGUGAGGGUAGUGUUGAGUGGGUGUCAACCCAAGUCCCACAUCUUAAAGAUAAAGCAGAUUUGUUUUCAAAAUAAGUAGCCAAACAAGUCCAUUAAUUAGGAUGAGUUCUUUUGAUACGCGGAGCCAAAAAUAAAGCCGUGCAUCCUCUGCCACAG
rnacentral:lncRNA from 1 species